AGGUAAGCUACUAAGAGCGAAUGGUGGAUGCCUUGACUGGUAAAGGCGAUGAAGGACGUACUAGACUGCGAUAAGCUACGGGGAGCUGUCAAGAAGCUUUGAUCCGUAGAUUUCCGAAUGGGGCAACCCAAUGUAUAGAGAUAUACAUUACCUAUAUAGGAGCGAACGAGGGGAAUUGAAACAUCUUAGUACCCUCAGGAAAAGAAAUCAAUAGAGAUUGCGUCAGUAGCGGCGAGCGAAAGCGCAAGAGGGCAAACCCAGUGCUUGCACUGGGGGUUGUAGGACUGCAAUAUGCAAGAGGUAAGUUUAGCAGAACAUUCUGGAAAGUAUAACCAUAGAGGGUGAUAGUCCCGUAUGCGAAAAACAAACCUUAGCUAGCAGUAUCCUGAGUAGGGCGGGACACGAGGAAUCCUGUCUGAAUCCGGGUCGACCACGAUCCAACCCUAAAUACUAAUACCAGAUCGAUAGUGCACAAGUACCGUGAGGGAAAGGUGAAAAGAACUGAGGUGAUCAGAGUGAAAUAGAACCUGAAACCAUUUGCUUACAAUCAUUCAGAGCCCUAUGUAGCAAUACAGGGUGAUGGACUGCCUUUUGCAUAAUGAGCCUGCGAGUUGUGGUGUCUGGCAAGGUUAAGCAAACGCGAAGCCGUAGCGAAAGCGAGUCUGAAUAGGGCGCUUAGUCAGAUGCUGCAGACCCGAAACGAAGUGAUCUAUCCAUGAGCAAGUUGAAGCUAGUGUAAGAACUAGUGGAGGACUGAACCCAUAGGCGUUGAAAAGCCCCGGGAUGACUUGUGGAUAGGGGUGAAAGGCCAAUCAAACUUCGUGAUAGCUGGUUCUCUCCGAAAUAUAUUUAGGUAUAGCGUUGUGUCGUAAUAUAAGGGGGUAGAGCACUGAAUGGGCUAGGGCAUACACCAAUGUACCAAACCCUAUCAAACUCCGAAUACCUUAUAUGUAAUCACAGCAGUCAGGCGGCGAGUGAUAAAAUCCGUCGUCAAGAGGGAAACAACCCAG
rnacentral:rRNA from 1 species